GCCUGGGUGGCUCAGUGGUUGAGCAUCUGCCUUCAGCUCAGGUCAUGAUCACCAGGUCCUGGGAUCAAGUCCCACAUCAGGCU
rnacentral:tRNA from 1 species